GACGAACGCUGGCGGCGUGCUUAACACAUGCAAGUCGAACGGUAAGGCCCUUCAGGGUACACGAGUGGCGAACGGGUGAGUAACACGCGGGUGAUCUGCCCUGCACUUCGGGAUAAGCCUGGGAAACUGGGUCUAAUACCGGAUAGGACUCCGGACUGCAUGGUCUGGGGUGGAAAGCUUUUGCGGGUGGGGAUGGGCCCGCGGCCUAUCAGCUUGUUGGUGGGGUGAUGGCCGACCAAGGGGACGACGGGUAGCCGGCCGGGGGGGGUGACAGGCCACACUGGAACUGGAGUACGGCCCAGACUCGUACGGGAGGCAGCAGUGGGGAAUAUUGCACAAUGGGCGCAAGCCUGAUGCAGCGACGCCGCGUGAGGGAUGACGGCCUUCGGGUUGUAAACCUCUUUCAGCAUCGACGAAGCGAAAGUGACGGUAGGUGCAGAAGAAGGACCGGCCAACUACGUGCCAGCAGCCGCCGUAA
rnacentral:rRNA from 1 species